UACGAAGGGGGCUAGCGUUGCUCGGAAUUACUGGGCGUAAAGGGCGCGUAGGCGGACAGUUUAGUCAGAGGUGAAAGCCCAGGGCUCAACCUUGGAAUUGCCUUUGAUACUGGCUGUCUUGAGUUCGGGAGAGGUGAGUGGAAUGCCGAGUGUAGAGGUGAAAUUCGUAGAUAUUCGGCGGAAUACCAGUGGCGAAGGCGACUCACUGGCCCGAUACUGACGCUGAGGCGCGAAAGCGUGGGGAGCAAACAGG
rnacentral:rRNA from 1 species